GGAGGGGCGCGGCCAGGCGGCGGCACGGGGCCGCCAUGUCGGGAGCGGCGCUGGGCAAGGUGGCGGCGGCGGCGCGGCCGCGGCGGAAGGUGCUGAGCGCGGAGGAGGCGGAGCUGUUCGAGCUGGCGCAGGCGGCGGGCAGCGGGCUGGACCCGGAGGUGUUCAAGGUGCUGCUGGACCUGCUGCGCAUGAACGUGGCGCCGCUCGCCGUCUUCCAGGUGCUCAAGUCCAUGUGCGCCGGGCAGCGGCUGCCGGCGGGCAACGAGAGCGGAGCCCCCGCCGCGCCGGUGCCGCUCCCCGCCGACAGCCGAGUGUUUCAGGGCGAAAACUUCACUGUAGCUGAUGAGUAUAUGUUGACCCGUGAAGAAUUCUGUAGUAAAACUGAAAAAGAAAACUUUUGCCAGCAGCCACUGUGUUGGGAACACAGAACGAUGGAAAAAAGAAAACCUUGGCUGUCAGUGCCUGUGUACCUGAUGGUGCGUCCUACAGAGAGCGGAUCUGAAAGGCAAGAUUCACUUGAAUAUCUUCAAGCAGUCGGUUUCAGGGUACCUGCAGAGAAUGCUGGCCUUGGAUUUUCACUGAGCUGGUGCUUAGUACUGGUGGUAGAGGAGAGCUUUGGCCUCCUUUCCCAACACAUUCAUCCCUGGCCCAAUGCUGAUGGGCAGUGCUGUGCUUCUUUGCCAGAAGGUUUGGUCUUCCCAGUUGUGUCAGACCUCCUUGUGAAGAUUUAUUUCUGUCCCCUCUCAGAUGGGAGAUGUUUGUGCUUGCAGUGACUCAGUCAAGGAGGGGCUGUGUUAAUGGAGUGCCUAGCCUGACUGAAGAUGGUCCUGAAGUGCAAGCUAACAGUCUUGUGCCACCUUAACUGCAAUUUUGUACAAUUCUGGCUAUCUUAUGUCUGAUACCACAGUGCAGUGUAGGCACCUGGAGCAAUGUGCAUGGAGUGUUGGAGGAAGAUGUGUGGGGUUCGCGGUUGAAGGUCAUGAAAACAGACUUCCAGAGAGAGGCCUCAGUUUGUGGGAACUGGUAAUGCAGUAAAGCAGAACUGGACCAUCAGUGCCAGCCUUGUCUGUGUUUCCCUUGAUCACAUGAGGCUGUGUUAGGAUUUGAACUAUCUGCAUGUCAAGGCAGCAGCUUGUUUUACUGAAGCUCUUAGAGGAAAGGGUGUUGCUGACAUACAAAUCCCUUUAAAAUCAAUGUAUCUUCAGGCUAAUUUUCUCUCCUUAAAUUGGAGAAGCAAGUAGUUAGCUCAAACUGAAGAGGAGGAGGGAUCAGGCUUCCUCAUUCAUUGAACUUUCUGGUUCUGAACACAGUCCAUCAUCAAUGCCUCAGUUCAGGAGUUGGGGAGCUGCCGUGGGGAAGGGGAACCAAAGCUGUAUCUGCUGUUGGCCCUGCCAUCUCUUGUUGGAAGAUGCUGCUUAUUUUUAAGAAGAGGAUGGCGUGGCUUCUGCGCAGGACAAGGC